rnacentral:lncRNA from 1 species
UUUGACAAAUGACAAACUUAUCUGCCUUUGUUUGUUCAGGUCAUACCACUCAGAGCUUUCCUGUUCCCAAGUUGGAGUCGGAUGCAAUUGUUGACACCAAUGGUGCUGGAGAUUCUUUCGUUGGGGGUUUUCUGGCCAUGUAUCUUCUGGGCAAACCUAUUGAAACUUGCAUUCGUUGUGGCAUCACUGUCUCCGUGGAAGUCAUCAAGAAUUCUGGCUGUACCCUGCCAGAUAGGGAAAGCAUUCGUGUUGUGUGAAGACUAGCUCUCUUUUUUUUUUCUUCUUUUUUUUUCUCCCCUCCAUUCUCUCAUUCCUAGCGCUGCUUAGACAAAUGGUAUUUUAUAUGCUCUGUCCUCUCAUGCAUUUUUAGGAUAGCUGGUGUGUUUGAGGCAUCUGUUAGCUGAACAAUCAUGCUCCCGUUUUCAGCAGUGGUGGGAUGACUGGUCAUUGCCAAGCCCAAGUGAAAACAUUGUAAAAAGUGAAUGCUUUUAAAAUAAAGGACUGCUUUUGUAGAGUUU